AUGCUCACUGAGAAAGAUUUUAGAAUCCGGAGAUAUGUUGUCAUUGUUGAUAUGCACAGAGAGGAUUUUGCUUGCAUUUGUGGAAAGUUUGAAAAAGAUGGCGUUGUGUGCAGCCACAUACUUAGGGUAUUAACACACCUCAACUUGCUGGUGCUACCUGAUAAGUAUUACAUUGACAGAUGGAGAGCCAAGCAAAGAAAAGACAUUAGAAAACUCAGGUACGGCGUCCCCGAGGAGUUAACAGCAGGGGACCAUCACCUUAGAUACAUGUUGCUGUCUAGCAGACUGAAUGAAAUGGCUUCGGAUGCUGCGUAA
rnacentral:rRNA from 1 species